rnacentral:rRNA from 1 species
AUUGAACGCUGGCGGCAUGCCUUACACAUGCAAGUCGAACGGUAACGCGGGGGCAACCCUGGCGACGAGUGGCGAACGGGUGAGUAACACAUCGGAACGUGUCCUGUUGUGGGGGAUAACCCAUCGAAAGGUGAGCUAAUACCGCAUGAUCUGGAGACAGCAAAGCAGGGGACCGGAAACGGCCUUGCGCGAUUGGAGCGGCCGAUGUCCGAUUAGCUAGUUGGUGGGGUAAAGGCCCACCAAGGCAACGAUCGGUAGCUGGUCUGAGAGGAUGACCAGCCGCACUGGGACUGAGACACGGCCCAGACUCCUACGGGAGGCAGCAGUGGGGAAUAUUGGACAAUGGGCGCAAGCCUGAUCCAGCCAUGCCGCGUGAGUGAUGAAGGCC